CGCCUCCUGCAAAGAUCUAAGUAUAGGAGGUCCAGCCUGCCCAGUGACUAUGGGUUUAACGGCCGCGGUAUUUUGACCGUGCAAAGGUAGCGCAAUCACUUGUCUUUUAAAUGAAGACCCGUAUGAAUGGCUAAACGAGGGCUUAACUGUCUCCCCUUUCAAGUCAGUGAAAUUGAUCUAUCCGUGCAGAAGCGGGUAUAAAUAUACAAGACGAGAAGACCCUUUGGAGCUUAAGGUACAAACCCAAUCGCGUCAAACAACUUACUAAAGAGCACAAACUUAGCGCACCAUGGAAUUUUACCUUCGGUUGGGGCGACCACGGAGGAAAAAGCAGCCUCCGAGUGGACCGGGAGAAUAUCCUAAAGUUAAGAGGGACACCUCUAAACCACAGAACAUCUGACCAAAUAUGAUCCGUACACAAAGUACGAUCAACGAACCAAGUUACCCUAGGGAUAACAGCGCAAUCCUCUCCCAGAGUCCAUAUCGACGAGAGGGUUUACGACCUCGAUGUUGGAUCAGGACAUCCUAAUGGUGCAGCCGCUAUUAAGGGUUCGUUUGUUCAACGAUUAAAGUCCU
rnacentral:rRNA from 1 species